rnacentral:rRNA from 1 species
UUCCUACGGGACGCAGCAGUGAGGAAUAUUGGUCAAUGGGAGAGAUCCUGAACCAGCCAAGCCGCGUGAGGGAAGACGGCCCUAUGGGUUGUAAACCUCUUUUGUCGGAGAACAAAACCCGGGACGUGUCCCGGACUGCGUGUAUCCGAAGAAAAAGCAUCGGCUAACUCCGUGCCAGCAGCCGCGGUAAUACGGAGGAUGCGAGCGUUAUCCGGAUUUAUUGGGUUUAAAGGGUGCGUAGGCGGUCUGUUAAGUCAGCGGUAAAAUUGCGGAGCUCAACUCCGUCGAGCCGUUGAAACUGUCGU